rnacentral:sRNA from 1 species
CCCAGGGCUCGCGCCCUGGGCUACUUUCUAUCGCCCCCUUCGACAAACUCAGGGCA